rnacentral:pre_miRNA from 9 species
GUUGCAGAGCCAUUUUGGCAUUCUGUCCACCUCCAUAAAUCUAAGAUCACUUCUUGGUGUCCAAUAUUUCUGGUCUUUGUUGGAGGUGGCCAGCAUGUCAAACUGGCUCUGUAAA